GAUGAACGCUGGCGGCGUGCUUAACACAUGCAAGUCGAACGGGAAUUAUUUUAUUGAAACUUCGGUCGAUUUAAUUUAAUUCUAGUGGCGGACGGGUGAGUAACGCGUGGGUAACCUGCCUUAUACAGGGGGAUAACAGUCAGAAAUGGCUGCUAAUACCGCAUAAGCGCACAGAGCUGCAUGGCUCAGUGUGAAAAACUCCAGUGGUAUAAGAUGGACCCGCGUUGGAUUAGCUGGUUGGUGGGGUAACGGCCCACCAAGGCGACGAUCCAUAGCCGGCCUGAGAGGGUGAACGGCCACAUUGGGACUGAGACACGGCCCAGACUCCUACGGGAGGCAGCAGUGGGGAAUAUUGCACAAUGGGGGAAACCCUGAUGCAGCGGCGCCGCGUGAAGGAAGAAGUAUCUCGGUAUGUAAACUUCUAUCAGCAGGGAAGAUAGUGACGGUACCUGACUAAGAAGCCCCGGCUAACUACGUG
rnacentral:rRNA from 1 species